rnacentral:tRNA from 1 species
GGGGGGAUGCCCGAGCGGUCAAAGGGAGCAGACUGUAAAUCUGCCGGCUGAUGCCUACAGAGGUUCAAACCCUCUUCCCCCCA